rnacentral:rRNA from 1 species
GAUGAACGCUGGCGGCGUGCUUAACACAUGCAAGUCGAACGAAGCACUUAAGAUUGAUUCUUCGGAUGACGUCUUUUGUGACUUAGUGGCGGACGGGUGAGUAACGCGUGGGUAACCUGCCUCACACAGGGGGAUAACAGUUGGAAACGACUGCUAAUACCGCAUAUGAGAUAUGUUGAAAUGCAUAUCUUGAAAACUACGGUGCCUAAGGAUGAGCCUGUGCCUGAUUAGCUAGUUGGUGGUGUAAUGGACUACCAAGGCGACGAUCAGUAGCUGGUUUGAGAGGAUGAUCAGCCACAAUGGGACUGAGACACGGCCCAU